rnacentral:rRNA from 1 species
CCUACGGGGGGCAGCAGUGAGGAAUAUUGGUCAAUGGCCGGAAGGCUGAACCAGCCAUGCCGCGUGAAGGUCAGUGCCCUAUGGGCGUUAAACUUCUUUUGUGCGGGAGCAAUAAUGGUCACGUGUGGCCAGACGAGAGUACCGUACGAAUAAGCAUCGGCUAACUCCGUGCCAGCAGCCGCGGUAAUACGGGGGAUGCAAGCGUUAUCCGGAUUUAUUGGGUUUAAAGGGUGCGUAGGCUGGGAGGUAAGUCAGCGGUGAAAUGCCCCCGCUCAACGGGGUGAAGUGCCAUUGAUACUGCCUGGCUGGAAUGCGGAUGCGGUGGGAGGAAUGUGUGGUGUAGCGGUGAAAUGCAUAGAUAUCACACAGAACACCGAUUGCGAAGGCAUCUCACGGAUCCGCGAUUGACGCUGAUGCACGAAAGCGUGGGUAUCAAACAGGAUUAGAUACCCUGGUAGUC